GACGUAGGGAGCGAGCGUUGUCCGGAUUCAUUGGGCGUAAAGAGCGCGCAGGCGGUUUGGUAAGUCGGAUGUGAAAUCCCGGGGCUCAACCCCGGACCUGCAUCCGAUACUGCCCGACUAGAGGUAGGUAGGGGAGAUCGGAAUUCCUGGUGUAGCGGUGAAAUGCGUAGAUAUCGAGAGGAACACCUGCGGCGAAGGCGGGUUGCUGGGCUGACACUGACGCUGAUGCGCGAAAGCCAGGGGAGCGAACGGG
rnacentral:rRNA from 1 species